rnacentral:rRNA from 1 species
GACGAACGCUGGCGGCGUGCUUAACACAUGCAAGUCGAACGGAAAGGCCCUGCUUUUGUGGGGUGCUCGAGUGGCGAACGGGUGAGUAACACGUGAGUAACCUGCCCUUGACUUUGGGAUAACUUCAGGAAACUGGGGCUAAUACCGGAUAGGAGCUCCUGCUGCAUGGUGGGGGUUGGAAAGUUUCGGCGGUUGGGGUUGGACUCGCGGCUUAUCAGCUUGUUGGUGGGGUAGGGGCUUACCAAGGCUUUGGCGGGUAGCCGGCCUGAGAGGGUGACCGGCCACAUUAGGACUGAGAUACGGCCCAGACUCCUACGGGAGGCAGCAGUGGGGAAUAUUGCACAAUGGGCGGAAGCCUGAUGCAGCAACGCCGCGUGCGGGAUGACGGCCUUCGGGUUGUAAACCGCUUUCGCCUGUGACGAAGCGUGAGUGACGGUAAUGGGUAAAGAAGCACCGGCUAACUACGUG